UUAUUUGGGUUGUUGGAUUGAAUAUUGGAUAAAUGAGUUUAUUGAAUUUAUUUAAUUGAAGUAUUUACGUUCGAUUUGAGGUUUGGAAAAAUGGAUAUAUUCUUGAAUUUGGAAGUACUCUAGUCUUGUUAGAGUUGAUUAUCAGAUGUUGAUUAGUUAACUCUCUGGACCCUCGGGGUCGGGGUGUUACAAU